CCAGCCACUGUUCCGGGGGUCAGUUGGAAGCUAAUCCAUUGUUCACAGAGCUCUCUUCAAACUUCGUCGUCGCCUGGACAACUCAUCAGCAUGGUUCAAGAGGACCUCGAUUCAAGCCCCUCCCUGGGAUCCUGUUGCCCAUAUCUGCUCUCAUGGCUCUGACCCUGUUUCUGUCCUCUGACCACGGCAACCUCCUCAUUCACUGGGUUUGUAAACCUGAGAACCUGUGAAUUGUUUUCCAGCUGUUGCCCCACCAACACUCUGAGGAGCCGAAAAUCCGCUUCCUUGUUCCCUUACAUAUUCUGAGAAGAGGUUCCUGAGUCAGCCGCUGUGGGUUUACUGCUGAACACCAUCCAGAACGUUUAAUAAACUUU